AUUGAACGCUGGCGGCAUGCCUUACACAUGCAAGUCGAACGGCAGCACAGGGAGCUUGCUCCUGGGUGGCGAGUGGCGAACGGGUGAGUAAUGUAUCGGAACGUGCCCAGUAGUGGGGGAUAACUACUCGAAAGAGUGGCUAAUACCGCAUGAGAUCUCUGGAUGAAAGUGGGGGACCGCAAGGCCUCACGCUACUGGAGCGGCCGAUAUCAGAUUAGGUUGUUGGUGGGGUAAAGGCCUACCAAGCCUGCGAUCUGUAGCUGGUCUGAGAGGACGACCAGCCACACUGGGACUGAGACACGGCCCAGACUCCUACGGGAGGCAGCAGUGGGGAAUUUUGGACAAUGGGCGCAAGCCUGAUCCAGCAAUGCCGCGUGCAGGAUGAAGGCCUUCGGGUUGUAAACUGCUUUUGUACGGAACGAAAAGGCUCUGGUUAAUACCUGGGGUCCAUGACGGUACCGUAAGAAUAAGCACCGGCUAACUACGUGCCAGCAGCCGCGGUAA
rnacentral:rRNA from 1 species